CAUGCAAGUCGAGGGGCAGCAUGAACUUAGCUUGCUAAGUUUGAUGGCGACCGGCGCACGGGUGAGUAACACGUAUCCAACCUGCCGAUGACUCGGGGAUAGCCUUUCGAAAGAAAGAUUAAUACCCGAUGGCAUAGUUCUUCCGCAUGGUAGAACUAUUAAAGAAUUUCGGUCAUCGAUGGGGAUGCGUUCCAUUAGGUUGUUGGCGGGGUAACGGCCCACCGAGCCUUCGAUGGAUAGGGGUUCUGAGAGGAAGGUCCCCCACAUUGGAACUGAGACACGGUCCAAACUCCUACGGGAGGCAGCAGUGAGGAAUAUUGGUCAAUGGACGAGAGUCUGAACCAGCCAAGUAGCGUGAAGGAUGACUGCCCUAUGGGUUGUAAACUUCUUUUAUACGGGAAUAAAGUGAGGCACGUGUGCCUUUUUGUAUGUACCGUAUGAAUAAGGAUCGGCUAACUCCGUGCCAGCAGCCGCGGUAAUACGGAGGAUCCGAGCGUUAUCCGGAUUUAUUGGGUUUAAAGGGAGCGUAGGCGGACGCUUAAGUCAGUUGUGAAAGUUUGCGGCUCAACCGUAAAAUUGCAGUUGAUACUGGGUGUCUUGAGUACAGUAGAGGCAGGCGGAAUUCGUGGUGUAGCGGUGAAAUGCUUAGAUAUCACGAAGAACUCCGAUUGCGAAGGCAGCCUGCUGGACUGUAACUGACGCUGAUGCUCGAAAGUGUGGGUAUCAAACAGGAUUAGAUACCCUGGUAGUCCACACAGUAAACGAUGAAUACUCGCUGUUUGCGAUAUACAGUAAGCGGCCAAGCGAAAGCGUUAAGUAUUCCACCUGGGGAGUACGCCGGCAACGGUGAAACUCAAGGAAUUGACGGGGGCCCGCACAAGCGGAGGAACAUGUGGUUUAAUUCGAUGAUACGCGGGGAACCUUACCCGGGCUUGAAUUGCAACUGAAUGAUGUGG
rnacentral:rRNA from 1 species